CUAAAGCAGAAUAGAUGUUCACUUGGAGAGUGCUGUUUUCAAAAUUCUGAAUCGGCUGGGUGUGGUGGCUCACACCUGUAAUCUUGGCACUUUGGGAGGCCCAGGUGAGAGGACUGCUUGAGCCCCAGGAGUUUGAGCCCAGCCUGGGCAACAUGACAAAACCCCAUCUCUACAAAAAGAUACAAAAAUUAGCCAGGCGUGAUGGUGUGCACCUGUAGUCCCAGCUACUGUGGAGGCUGAGGUGGGAGGACCACCUGAACCUGGGGAGGCUGAGGAUGCAGUGAGUUGUGAUCAUGCCACUGCAUGCCAGUCAGGGUGACAGAGUGAGACCCUGUCUCAAAAAAAAAAAAAAAAUUCUGAACCAGUAAAAAUGGGAACAGACACUGUGACUAAGAGCCACCAUCUGACAAUCCCAUGUUGCAGAAGCACAGGCCUGUCUGGGUGAGUCUCCCUCAUGCGCUUUCAUUAUCACCAUCUCUCCUCUGCCUGCCUGAUCCAGCAAAGACCCAGGCAAAACAGGGGCUGAUUGGCUGAUUAAAUGCACUAGCGAGGGACAGCUUCUAGUUAAAACAAUUUAUCUAGAUCUUUUAAAAGCAAAGAAUCCCACAAUAGUAAACAUAAUUACUCUUUAAUGUGAUCUGGUUUUUAGUUAGAGUUUCAUCUAUUUUAUGGAACAAACUCUUUUUUUAAAUACUGUGACAUAAACAGCUACGUACUUACAGAAAUUGUUCUCUCUUUUCCCUGGGCACAGAGCCAGCCCCACCUCCCAGCCUCCUUGGCAAUCAG
rnacentral:lncRNA from 1 species